UACAGAGGGGGCAAGCGUUGUUCGGAAUUACUGGGCGUAAAGGGCGCGUAGGCGGUCUGCUAAGUCGAACGUGAAAUCCCCGGGCUCAACCCGGGAACUGCGUCCGAUACUGGCAGGCUUGAAUCCGGGAGAGGGAUGCGGAAUUCCAGGUGUAGCGGUGAAAUGCGUAGAUAUCUGGAGGAACACCGGUGGCGAAGGCGGCAUCCUGGACCGGUAUUGACGCUGAGGCGCGAAAGCCAGGGGAGCAAACGGG
rnacentral:rRNA from 1 species